UUGUAUCGAAUUAUUUAUUAAUAAAUAAAAGAUUUUUUUAUUUUGUUUGUUUUUGAAAAAUAAUAAAGUUCCUAGAAUAGAUAAUAUGUUUAAUGAAAUGUUAACUUUGACUUAAUCAUCAAAUCCCAUUAGACAUAAGGACAAUGUUCUUAAAGUAUCUGUAGUCGAGCUUUAUUGUGAAGUGGGAUAAUAUUAAAACAUUGAGACUAUCAUAUGGAUAGAAUGAU
rnacentral:lncRNA from 1 species